rnacentral:rRNA from 1 species
UACGAAGGGGGCUAGCGUUGUUCGGAAUCACUGGGCGUAAAGCGCACGUAGGCGGAUGCGCCAGUCAGGGGUGAAAUCCCGGAGCUCAACUUCGGAACUGCCUCUGAUACAGCACGUCUUGAGUCCGGAAGAGGUGGGUGGAAUUCCUAGUGUAGAGGUGAAAUUCGUAGAUAUUAGGAAGAACACCGGUGGCGAAGGCGGCCCACUGGUCCGGUACUGACGCUCAGGAGCGAAAGCGUGGGGAGCGAUCCGG